rnacentral:rRNA from 1 species
UACGAAGGGUGCAAGCGUUACUCGGAAUUACUGGGCGUAAAGGGUGCGCAGGCGGUUGUUUAAGUCUGCUGUGAAAGCCCCGGGCUCAACCUGGGAAUGGCAGUGGAUACUGGUCAGCUAGAGUGCGGUAGAGGGUAGUGGAAUUCCCGGUGUAGCAGUGAAAUGCGUAGAGAUCGGGAGGAACACCAGUGGCGAAGGCGGCUACCUGGGCCAGCACUGACGCUGAAGCACGAAAGCGUGGGGAGCAAACAGG